rnacentral:rRNA from 1 species
UUCCGGUUGAUCCCGCCGGACCUUACUGCUAUCGGGAUGAGACUAAGCCAUGCAUGUCGAGCGCUCUUCAGCUAUGUAGAGAGCGCGGCGAACGGCUCAAUAACACGUAGUUAACCUACCCUCGGGAUGGGAAUAACCCCGGGAAACUGGGAUUAAUGCCCACUAGAUGAUUAUACCUGGAAUGGCUUAUCAUCGAAAGAGUCUGGAAACAUGCUUCCAGCGUCGCCCGAGGAUGGGACCGCGUCCGAUCAGGUAGUUGGUGGGGUAAUGGCCUACCAAGCCUAUAACAGGUACGGGCCCUGAGAGGGGGAGCCCGGAGAUGGAAACUGAGAAAAGGUUCCAGGCCCUACGGGGUGCAGCAGGCGCGAAACCUCCACAAUGCGCGAAAGCGUGAUGGGGUUAUCCCGAGUGCCGUCCGAUGAGGAUGGCUUUUUAUCGAUGUAAGGAUUCGAUGGAAUAAAGGGGGGGCAAGACUGGUGUCAGCCGCCGCGGUAAUACCAGCCCCCUGAGUGGUAAGGACGAUUAUUUGGCCUAAAGCGUUCGUAGCCGGCUUAUCAAGUCUUUUGUUAAAUCCAACGAUUCAAUCGUUGGGCCGCAAAAGAUACUGUUAUGCUAGAGGACGGGAGAGGUCGACGGUAGUCCAGGGGUAGGGGUGAAAUCCUAUAAUCCCGGGAGGACCACCAGUGGCGAAGGCUGUCGGCUAGAACGCGCCCGACGGUGAGGGAUGAAAGCUGGGGGAGCGAACCGGAUUAGAUACCCGGGUAGUCCCAGCUGUAAACGAUGCAGGCUAGGUGUUUGGGCGGCUACGUGCCGCUCUAGUGCCGCAGGAAAGCUGUUAAGCCUGCCGCCUGGGGAGUACGGCCGCAAGGCUGAAACUUAAAGGAAUUGGCGGGGGGAGCACACAAGGGUGAAGCUUGCGAUUAAUUGGAAGUCAACGCCGGA